GAUUAUGGCUCAGGAUGAACGCUAGCGACAGGCUUAACACAUGCAAAGUCGAGGGGCAGCGCGAGGGUAGCAAUACCUUUGGCGGCGACCGGCGCACUGGUGAGUAACACGUAUGCGACCUGCCCCGGACAGGGGGAUAAACCCGGGAAACUGGGCCUAAUACCCCAUAUGCCAAGGGACCGCAUGGUCUCCUGGUGAAAGAUCCGUCGGUCCGGGAUGGGCAUGCGGCGCAUUAGCUGGUUGGCGGGGCAACGGCCACCAAGGCGACGAUGCGUAGGGGUUCUGAGAGGAAGGUCCCCCACACUGGUACUGAGACACGGACCAGACUCCUACGGGAGGCAGCAGUGAGGAAUAUUGGUCAAUGGACGCGAGUCUGAACCAGCCAAGUCGCGUGCGGGAUGAAGGCCCUCCGGGUCGUAAACCGCUUUAGCCGGGGAGUAACGUGCGGGACGCGUCCCGCAGUGAGAGUACCCGGAGAAUAAGACAUCGGCUAACUCCGUGCCAGCCGCGGC
rnacentral:rRNA from 1 species